rnacentral:lncRNA from 1 species
GUGUUCCUAAAGUUGAUCGUUUAUAGCCGGUGUCACGUCUUGGACCCUACCAUUAUUUGUCAGUGUCUUAUGGAUGCAUUUGGAUAUGCGUGCACAUGGAGUGCCUUCAGAAAGUUUUCAGAACCCUUGACUUUUUCCACAUUUUGUUACAUUAGACAGGGUUGGGUAAGUUACUUUCUAAAUGUAAUCCGUUACAAGUUACCUGUCCAAAAUUGUAAUCAGUAACGUAACUUUUGGAUUACCCAAACUCAGCAACGUAAUCUGAUUACAUUCCGUUACUUUUAGAUUACUUUCCCCUUAAGAGACAUUAGAAGAAGACAAAAAUGUAUGUUACCAAUUGAACGACAUCUUUUGCAGGAUAAAUCAAUGUUAAAGUUUAUAUAGCUUGCCAUAUAUGGAUGCUAAAUUUAACUUUAUGGGUUGGGUAUGUAGGCUUCUUCUAACCCAUCGCUUUCUACUACAAAUAAUACCAUUAAAUUAUAUAUCUUUACAUUAAAAACCAAAGUCUAUCAGAAUUCCAGUCAUUCCAAUAAAUGUUAUACCCCUUAAUCUUCAAGAAUAGGACUUGGAAAUAUGGAAGUAUAGAUUAGCCAAAUUGUUUUCCCUGAGCAUGACCCCAAACGUAAGAAUUUAUUUGCCAGCCCUACUUUGUUGUUUAGGAUUUUGUUGUCAUGGAGGACUGAUUGGGCUCAUUGAUUCGAGUUGAAAAAUAAAUGGUGCGCUCAUGGAAUGGCAUGCUUUGCCAAGUGUGUGCAAAACUGUCAUCAAGGCAAAGGUUGGCUACUUUGAAGAAUCUAAAAUAUAUUUAGAUUUGUUUAACACUUUUUUGGUUACUACAUUAUUCCUGAUUUGUUAUGUUAUAGUGCUGAUGUCUUCACAAUUAUUCUACAAUGUAGAAACAAGUAAAAAUAAGAAAUUCCUUUGAAUGAGUAGGUGUGUCCUGACUUUUGACUGCUACUGUAUGUAUAAUUUAUAAAUCCAAGAAUGGAUGUAGUAACUACAGAUUUCCCCUUUAAGUAUAUCAAAAGUGUGCAAGUUUGAGCAUGUGUCCAUUAGGCCUAUGGAUAUUUUUGUUUUUAUCAGCAUGAAUUAGACUGAGCAAUAAAAGCCCCACUUUUAUUCCAUAGACUUGGAUCCGCACUAUGCAGCUGUUGCAAGAGCAUAUUUUUCACUGGCUGUCCACUGGUUUCAAAAACAAUGAUUGAUAGGCAGUUUAAACUUCUUGAAUUCAACCAUUACUGGGUUCAAAUACAUAUUUAGAUUUGUGAACAGCCAUCCACAACAACCACAAGGCGCAAAUAGCUAAGUGAGAGAGCAGCGGUGUGAUUCCCAUCAAUGCGCUAUGUAGAUAUCAAUAAUAAGUGAUAUCCGUAUCGCCGUAGACUACACUACUACUGUCAACUUUACCUCCAAGCGUUUAUUCAAAUUGGAUAAUCUUUGGAUGCCGAUAGCAGUCGCACCAUUGGAAGACAUAGCUUGGACUGUAGCCUACAAAAGCCUAUUCCUGCUCUUUUCCCGCGAUCCAUCAAACACAUUUGAUGUAGCAUCAUAUUGGUCUCUGACUUCUGAUCAGACUCGCUCAGGGGAAAAAACGUAAACUUGCACCAUUUUUCAAUGCUGCUUUGAAUGUCAUUGAGAAAACAGAAAAUUGUCAAAAUAAAAUUUGCGCAAACAUCCUUUCUAAAUGUAAAAGUAAUCAUCUAGCU